UACGACUACAUAUCAGGCAUAUCAAUAAGCGGAGGAAAAGAAACUAACAAGGAUUCCCUUAGUAACGGCGAGUGAAGCGGGAAGAGCUCAAAUUUGAAAUCUUCAAGGGUUCUACCUUUACGAAUUGUAGUUUAAAGAAGUGUUUUCUGUUAGAGGAGUAGGUCAAAAGUUCCUUGGAAUAGGGACAUCAUAGAGGGUGAGAAUCCCGUAUUUGGUUAUUCUUUCUAGCUGUGUGAUACACUUUCAAAGAGUCGGAUUGUUUGGGAAUGCAGUCCAAGAUGGGUGGUAAAUUUCAUCUAAAGCUAAAUAUUGGCGAGAGACCGAUAGCGAACAAGUACCGUGAGGGAAAGAUGAAAAGAACUUUGAAAAGAGAGUUAAACAGUACGUGAAAUUGUCAAAAGGGAAGCGUUUGACACCAGUGUUGUUUAGUUGAAAAUCAAUUCAAUAGUUUUUGAUUCUAAGUAGUAUUGACUUCAUCAGCUUGCUGCUUUCUUCUCAGAAAUUAUUGAAUGCACUUUUCAGUUAACAAGUCAACAUCAAUUUCUUUUGUUGUAAAAGGGUAAGAGGAAGGUGGCUUGCGCUUCGGCUCAAGUGUUUAUAGCCUUUUAUCUCUGCAAUCGGAGAGAUUGAGGUCUGCAGCGUAGAUCCUUCGGGGUUAGAUACAUUGGUGCUAAGCUAUAGCCUUGUAUAGACAACUUGUUGACUAUGCUCAGUCAUGUAGCUUACUCGCUGAUGCUAUUUUACCUACGCUUAGGAUGUUGAUCUACAGAGCGAGAGU
rnacentral:rRNA from 1 species